rnacentral:tRNA from 1 species
GGUAGCUUAUUGGUAGAGUGCUUGCCUAGCACGCAUGAAGUCCUGGGUUCGAUCUCUCAGUACCA